UCCCCGGCAGCGGUGUCCAGUGGGCCAGAUUUAACGCUGGGGAGGAUGGCAGUUUGCCGCCGGGGAGGUGUUCCAUGGAUCAGAAUCAGAGCCGCCGUCUGAUCCGUGGAUCAGGAAAUUCGCUUUACUGUAUCGCCGCACGAGUCGAGUUGAAUCCAGAGUCCAGUCGUCUUCUCUUGCAAAGCUACUGGCGAUUUGAAGGCGACGACUGGGAGAUAAAGGUCAGGAGCGGCAGCGGCGAUCCAACAUGGAGUUCUUGAUGCAGCCGAUCGGCAGAUCUGCUGUGCUUGAGGAGAUAGAAGAGAGCCUGGUGCCUGCCCCUCUGGUUGCCGAUGACGAAGUGGUGGCGGAGCAUGCGGUGCGGCAGCAUCACAGGGCGGCGGACAGCGGCAAAGCACAAAUCAGGGGCGGAGGCCGCAGCGGGCAGAAGGGAUAGCUCCCCUCCGACGCUCGAGCUCUCAACGGGGAAGACGAAUCCCCAGGCGCCCGGAUGGAAUAAGAGGACUAGGGUUGGAUUAGUUGGCAGGACGAGGAUGAAGUUGGUUCCGGCCAAGAGCAGCGUCGUGCGCUGGCUGUCGGCGGAGCAGCGUGGAGGCGCGGCACGGGGG